GGCCACAUCACUUGAAACACUCAUUCCCAUAUGAUCAUCAAAGUUAAGCAACAUUGAGCCUUGAGUACCUAGAUGGGUGACCACUUGGGAAUACCAUCUA